GUCUAUCUUCUAUUUUUUUAUAUACCAAACCGUCAUUUAACUCAAAUUUAUCACUAUCUUCUACUUCUAGGUGCUGACUGAUUUCCAGAAUUCUUGGAUCGGACAGCUGUAAAAACUCUAAACGCCUCUCCAAUGGAAGCUCGUCUACAUGGGCCACGCAUCUGCUGAGGGCGUCAACGUGAGCCAUGCGACUUCCUGGACGGUGCAUUAUGCCGCAUUGGUGCCGGAGCUAAAGUACGCUACUGGGGACCAUUUCCCCUCCUGCUGCCACUGCAACAGAAUCGCCCCGUACCCUAGACUGCACGCAUCUGUAUGAAGCUGAGUCUCUGCGGAGGGAUUAUAUAAACUCAACACCGGAGAUUUUCCUCGACGGAUUCGGACGGAAUCAAAACAUCAUCUAUAUAUACAAGUAUUUUAUCCGCACGAAUCAACGGAUUGAGGAUCCGUAUCAAUCUUUUCUGGAAUUCCGCGGGUGAUU